rnacentral:rRNA from 1 species
GACGAACGUUGGCGGCGUGCUUAAUACAUGCAAGUCCACUGAAGCAGUGGUAGCAAUAUCGCUGUGGAGGUGGCGCACGGGUGAGUAACACGUAGGUAAUCUGCCUUCAGGUCUGGCAUAACUCCGGGAAACCGGGGCUAAUAGCAGAUGAUGCAGCGGCUCGACAUCGAGACAGUUGUUAAAGCUAUGGCGCCUGAAGAUGAGCCUGCGUCUGAUUAGCUAGUUGGCGGGGUAACGGCCCACCAAGGCAACGAUCAGUAGCUGGUCUGAGAGGAUGAUCAGCCACACUGGAACUGAGACACGGUCCAGAAUACUACGGGAGGCAGCAGUAAGGAAUAUUGCUCAAUGGGAGAAAUCCUGAAGCAGCAACGCCGCGUGAGGGACGAAGGGCUUUUGCUUGUAAACCUCUGUAGUGAGAGAAAAAAAUCCCAAUCUUUGGGACAUGAUGGUAGCUCAAAAGUAAGCCCCGGCUAACUACGUG